rnacentral:rRNA from 1 species
UACGUAGGGGGCAAGCGUUGUCCGGAAUCAUUGGGCGUAAAGAGCGCGUAGGCGGCCCGGUAAGUCCGCUGUGAAAGUCAAGGGCUUAACCCUUGAAUGCCGGUGGAAACUGCCGGGCUAGAGUCCGGAAGAGGCGAGUGGAAUUCCCUGUGUAGCGGUGAAAUGCGUAGAGAUGGGGGAGAACACUCGUGGCGAAGGCGGCCAUCUGGACGGAUACUGACGCUGAGACGCGAAAGCGUGGGGAGCAAACAGG